rnacentral:rRNA from 1 species
CCCUUAGAUGUUCUGGGCUGCACGCGCGCUACACUGAUGCAUGCAACGAGUUUUCGACCUUGCCUGAAAAGGUUGGGUAAUCUGUUUAACAUGUGUCGUGAUGGGGAUAGACCAUUGCAAUUAUUGAUCUUCAACGAGGAAUUCCUAGUAAGCGCGAGUCAUCAGCUCGUGCUGAUUAUGUCCCUGCCCUUUGUACACACCGCCCGUCGCUCCUACCGAUUGAGUGCUCCGGUGAAUGAUUCGGACCAGCGUGCUGCUCAGAUCCUGCGCAGUGUGCUGGGAAGUCUAGUGAACCUUAUCACUUAGAGGAAGGAGAAGUCGUAACA